UGGGGAAUCUUGCGCAAUGGGCGAAAGCCUGACGCAGCGACGCCGCGUGGGGGAAGAAGGCUUUCGGGUUGUAAACCCCUUUCGGGAGAGACGAAGCCACUCAGGUUAAUAGCCGAGAGGGUGACGGUACCUCCAGAAGAAGCCCCGGCUAACUACGUGCCAGCAGCCGCGGUAAUACGUAGGGGGCAAGCGUUGUCCGGAUUUAUUGGGCGUAAAGAGCGUGUAGGCGGUUGGGUAGGUCCGUUGUGAAAACUCGAGGCUCAACCUCGAGACGCCGAUGGAAACCCCCCAGCUAGAGUCCGGAAGAGGAGAGUGGAAUUCCUGGUGUAGCGGUGAAAUGCGCAGAUAUCAGGAAGAACGCCCGUGGCUAAGGCGGCUCUCUAGUACGGUACUGACGCUGAGACGCGAAAGCGUGGGGAGCGAAC
rnacentral:rRNA from 1 species